GUGACUAGCAUACAGGGGCCUCGGGUUAAUUUGAAAAAAUUACUCGGGGCUUUCU
rnacentral:misc_RNA from 1 species